UGGGGAAUAUUGCACAAUGGGCGCAAGCCUGAUGCAGCCAUGCCGCGUGUAUGAAGAAGGCCUUCGGGUUGUAAAGUACUUUCAGUCGGGAGGAAGGUGUCAAGGUUAAUAACCUUGGCAAUUGACGUUACCGACAGAAGAAGCACCGGCUAACUCCGUGCCAGCAGCCGCGGUAAUACGGAGGGUGCAAGCGUUAAUCGGAAUUACUGGGCGUAAAGCGCACGCAGGCGGUUGAUUGAGUCAGAUGUGAAAUCCCCGGGCUUAACCCGGGAAUUGCAUCUGAUACUGGUCAGCAAGAGUCUUGUAGAGGGGGGUAGAAUUCCAUGUGUAGCGGUGAAAUGCGUAGAGAUGUGGAGGAAUACCGGUGGCGGAGGCGGCCCCCUGGACGAAGACUGACGCUCAGGUGCGAAAGCGUGGGGGGCAAACAGG
rnacentral:rRNA from 1 species